UCUCUCAAAAAACCUCGUGACUGACUCAGAAACUUCUCGACUCUCACAUGGUCGCCGCCCUCAUGGCCGACAUCUCCAACUCAUGCUCCGCCGGAAGAGGAGCAUACACCUCCGCUCACAACAAAACCGUCUACGCCUCCUUAACCGGCUUCCGCCGCACCGGACUCUCCUGACCAGAGACCAACUGUUGAAGUUACUGGUCACAAGGCUCACGGUCCUGUUCCUCAACCUGGAUCUGAACCUCGUUGUUCUUCCCUCCUCUCAUCUCACCUUCCCUUCCCUUCGCGUGUCUGACUCCUCCCUUUUCUGCUUCUCCUUCUCCACCGCUCGUCGCUCGCAAACCACCACAAGCUUAAGGGAAAACUCGUGAACCCUCAUCCUCCAUCGUCGGUUAACGAAACUGAAAUUUCUCAGAGAGCUGCCACCUUGAAUAGCAGAAUUUCCAAUCUUGGGCCGUACCAGGAACAGUAGAGUUCGAGUAAAAGAUACAACUUUCUCAUCAAGUUAGGGACCAGGGAAAGUAAAGAAGUUACAGUUGAAGGGAGAGUGCAGUUUGAUUUGCUCCAGGUUAUGCAAAGAGACUAUAUAUUAAGUUCUUAUUCAUUGAAUUGUGUCUCGGCUCACUUCCUUUCUGAGCAGAUUGUUUGCAGAUAAAAUACCUUGGUGAGGAUGGUGAGAAUGUUCCUGUGGCUGGAGUUGUAGCUGUUUUCUCUCCUUGGGACCUUUUGGUGGGCAAAGCACAUUAGAAAGCUGUCAAGUAUUACAGGUAAGGUUUCUUAGUUUCCAUCCAUUGCUCUGUUUCCAUUAGUAGAAACAACUGUGUUGUGGACAGCAAGGGGCUUGUGUAAUACAUUUUAUUGUAUAAUGUGCUUUACUAAGUCCAUGCAGUGAAGCUUAGGUUAUAGUAAUUUUCAUUUCUACUUUGAUUGAAUAUUAUCAAUGUUACAUAUUUUUAACCUAUUACAUAAUUCUUUUCAAUUCAUGUAGGUUCUGCAUCAUAAACAAUUAAA